UGUAAGCGUAUACCAAAGUUGUUGCAGUUAAAACGCUCGUAGUCGGACUUUGGCAGUUCCGGAUGUGUGCACGUCGUGUGCGCACUUCGCGGGGAUUGCUUUUGUGGUCUUGCGUAGGAUGAGGCACUUUUAUUAGUGAACGUCCUCACGCAACCACUUUUUACUGUGAGAAAAUCAGAGUGCUCAAAGCAGGCAUUUGCCGUGAAUGUAUUAGCAUGGAAUAAUAGAAUAGGACUUGGUUCUAUUUUGUUGGUUUGUUGGGACUGAGUAAUGAUUAAGAGGGACAGUUGGGGGCAUUUGUAUUUCGGUGCUAGAGGUGAAAUUCUUAGAUUACCGAAAGACAAGCUGCUGCGAAAGCGUCUGCCAAGGAUGUUUUCAUUGA
rnacentral:rRNA from 1 species